rnacentral:rRNA from 1 species
AGCGUAGGCGGAUUUUUAAGUGAGAUGUGAAAUACUCAGGCUUAACCUGAGUGCUGCAUUUCAAACUGGAAGUCUAGAGUGCAGGAGAGGAGAAGGGAAUUCCUAGUGUAGCGGUGAAAUGCGUAGAGAUUAGGAAGAACACCAGUGGCGAAGGCGCUUCUCUGGACUGUAACUGACGCUGAGGCUCGAAAGCGUGGGGAGCAAACA